UCCCGCCGACCACGCAAGGCCAACCAGUGAUCCCUGUCGUGAGGGUAUCACCACGUUUAGGUGACUGAUGACCUCGCGUGUGUUCAAGUUCAACAGUGGGCGUGACGGAAUGAGGAAAGGUGCAGCUGACUCGUAUUGUUUCCUCACAGCCCGGUGGUUGGGGACCACUGAAGUACACUGUGUAGUGUGGGGGAGCUACAUGCAUGCACAGCGAACAGAAAGAACGGAACUAAAACCCCGUAACCCGGAAACAAUCUCGCAACAGUAUUUGUAUAUUUAUUUUUCUUUUUUUUUGGGAUCAACUGGGAAAGUCUCAAAGAUUGACCAGUUGAUCGCGACUGACGGGUUGGUGACCACUAAUAUACAGCAUGCCACCAUAUACUGUUCUGAGAUUCAUUUUCUUGCAGGCAAUCACAGAAAAACAUUGAAAUGCAAUAGAGUCAAUAGAACAGAGUGAAAUGAUACACCAACAAAAGACUGACUAGCAACCGAUGUUCAAAUGAAAACAACAUGUCAGCAACUAAUAAUAAGAAGAUAAGAACAUAAGAAAUAGGAGCAGGAGUUGGCCAUCUGGCCCGUCGAGCCUGCUCAGCCAUUCAAUAAGAUCAUGGUUGAUUUGACCAUGGACUCAUCUCCACCUACCUGCCUUUCCCCCAUAACCCUUAAUUCCCCUACUAUGCAAAAAUCUACCUAACCUUGUCUUAAAUAUGUUUACUGUGUAGCCUCCACUGCUUCAUUGGGCAGAGAAUUCCACAGAUUCACCACUCUCUGGGAAAAGCCUCCUCAUCUCCAUCCUAAAUCUGGUGAUUUCCCAGGAGAGACAGUAUGUGGUCCAUUAGUUCUGAGGGCCCAGCAUUUCUGAAGUCAGGUAAGGACGGCAACUUUCUGGCACACUCAGACGCCAAUAGACCAAAAGCUCGUGAAAGGUGAGUUUCCAGCAAUCAGUAUUUAUCUCAUUCAGAUGGAUAUUCAAGCAGAUUCACUACUCUUGCGGCCGAGGAAUUUUAUUUUGUUUUAAGUUGGCCAGUAGAAAAAUUUGGUGUCGUCGACGGAGGUUUCUCGAAGUGCGAAUUGAGCCUCGACCUGUACAACCAAGCAAUAGCAUUUUGCUCCCAAAGCUCAGCCAAUUGCAAAGCAACUGCGUUGGCCAACAUGUUCUAUUACUCUGCAACCGUCCUCGAGCAUUUGGGUCUCCAAUAUAGGUUUUCACCAAUAAAACGGUGGAGACGUUUUAUGCUUAGAAAAAGACAUAGCAAGUCAUUUAUUGAACAUCAAAAACUGAAUUCAAAGCAUGCUAAAACAAAACUCUUUAUGUGAAUACAUCGUCACUUCAGACUAGCCUCUUAACGUGAACCUCCAAAUCAAUGUCACUGGUUAUGAAUUAUGUACAUUCCCACCAAUCGCAUUACACUACAAAUUCAACAAUGUCUCUGUUCAUCAACAUCCCAUAACACACCACUGUUUAAUGAAUAUGUCCCUGGAAAACAGGGGAUGCCAAAAAUAUUCAUUUCAAACAACAUUCGUUGUGCUGUCUUAAUCUUUGCAGCAUUUCUGACCAUCUAUUAAAAAAUCACUUGCACCAACUCAGUAGGGUAUUGCAGAAUAAUUCCUGCUGAUACUGGAGUUCAGCUUCCAUAUACAGGAUUUACGAAAUGCAGGACAGUGUACUGGUGACUUACUACAACAAGAAGCAACCUGCUAGAGGAGGUUCACAAGGAUGAUUCCAGGAAUGAAAGGGUUAUCAUGUGAGGAACGUUUGAUAGCUCUGGGUCCGUACUCGUUGGAAUUUAGAAGGAUGGGGGAGAAUUUGAUUGACACCUUUUAAAUGUUGAAAGGCCUAGACAAAGUAGAUGUGGAAUUGAUUUUUCCAUGGUGGGGAGUCUGGGACAAGAGGGCACAGCCUCAGGAUAGAGGGGCAUCCAUUUAAAACAGAGAUGUAGAGAAAUUUCUUUAGCCAGAGGCUGGUGAAUUUGUGGAAUUUAUUACCACAGGCAGCUGUGGAGGCGAGGUUGUUGGGUGUAUUUAAGGCAGAGCUUGAUAGGUUCUUGAUUGGACACGACAUCAAGGGUUAUGGGGAGAAGGCUGGGAUGUGGGGUUCAGGAGGGGGGAAAAAGGAUCAGCCAUGAUUGAAUGGCUGACCAGACUCAACAGGACAAAUUCCCUAAUUCUGCUCUUAUACCUCAUGGUUUUAACUCAGCAGGUCGAGCAACAUCUGUGGAGGCAAAGAGAUAGGAGAUGUUUCAGGAUGCUACUCUGCAUCAAGACUGAGAGUGCAGAGGGAAGACAGUCAAUAUGAACAAAUGAGAGGUGAGACAUGGGUUAGUAGGUCAAGAAAGUUGAGAUUAGGGUUGAUAGGAAGGGGCAGAGAGAGUUUAGAGACAGAGGCUAGUUGAUUAUAGGGUCAAAGUCCAGAUGCAAUCUGGGAUUUGAUUCUGAGUGAUGGAACGGGAGUCAGAGUCAGGACACAAUCAAGGGCAGAGCUGACAGAUUGGUCUGGCAUAUGAAGAUGUUAGGGAUGAAAUUCGGUGAAAGUGGAAGUUGAGUGUAAGGUAAGGGAAGUUAUGUCUGUGGCAAGAGCACAGAUUUAAAAUGUCCUUCAACUCCUUUCUCCCUUGUGCAUUUAUUUAACUUUUUCUCAAACUCCUGUACACUUGCCACUUUUGGUUGAUGUAUUUAGCAGCCUACCUGUCCUCUGGGUAAGCAAGCUUCCCCUGCGUUUCCCACUGCAUUUGAGGGAGACUUUUAUACUGAUGGCCCUGAGUUUAGAUCUUUGCAACAGAGGAAUCACUCCCCUACACAGAGAGGGAUCUUUAAUUAUCCUGUCAGCCUCCUGCUCAGCCUUCCUUUUUAUAGUGAAGAGCGCAGCAGCCUGUUCAAUCAUCCCUGACAGUUACGUCCUGUCAGUCCCUGUAUUGUUCUGAUAAAUCAUUUUUGCAUUUUCUCAACUCAACCAUCUACAUUUUUCAUAUUAUGCAGAACAAACUCUUCACAAUCCUUCUACAGAAAUCUAAAAUAAUUUCCGAUGUUUUCAGUUUCUCUUUCUCAUGAAGUCAUUUUCUCUCCCUCGUGAAAUGAGCUUCAACAGUUUGCUUGCAUUAUGUAGAUUUAUUAAUCUGAAUUUUCACUGUGAGGGAUUUGUCCAACAAACUCUCUUCCAAGACAGAAGACCACCACUCCCAGCUCCCACCAAUUCUUUAAUGCCAUUUACACCUAUCUUCUACAAUGAACAUAGCCUCAUCUUUCUUUACUAUUCCACCUUGCUGUCUUUACAGUGAAUGUCCAUACAGAAGUGAAUCUCAGGGUAGUGUAUGUGGCAUAUAUGUACUCGGAUAAUAAAUUUACUUUGAAAUUUGAACGUUCAUAGCUGAUGUUCUCAGCAGAUUAAUUUUCCCAUUUCACAAAUAUUAAGUCAGGGCAGAUGAAAAAGCUGAUCAGAGUUCAUGUGUUCUUUUAUUUCUUUUUCUCGAUGUCUCACACUUUAGAGUCCAUAUCGGAGAGAGCAUUCUGAUGAUGAUUGCUCGCCCCGCCUUCGGUUGCUCGUAACAGACCUGGGUGUCUAGUAAGUCAUUCAAAUCAAUAAUAUUUUCAUAUUGAAGGUUUCCAGUUGUCACGGUAACAAUCACACAAUAUAUGCAUGCUGAGACACAGUGCGCAGUGAAUUAAUACAAAAAGAAUCUGGGUAAAAUCAGGGGCUUGAUGCAAGUUGCACGUUCAGCAAUCACCCUGCCACUACCUGUGUAUGCUUGACAUGCUAAUCCACAGAGAAGGCUAGACACAAAUCCAGACAAUGGAUGCCUGGCCCACGGGCUGUCAAGUCGUCUGUAGCAUUUAAAGGUGAUUCCUACUCAUGAAAACCAACAGCUGGAACUCAAGCCCUGUGUUUCCUCUUUAAGGAAUAUGUUUAUUCCUUCCAAUUAGUCCCUCCAUAAUCCCACCAACACCCUUAUCUUUUGAUCAACCCCUGCUCAAUCCAGAGAGAGCCCUUCAUCUAUCCAUCUACUUAGCAGUCCUUCCUCCCUCAAGGCCUUACUGAUUAUGGCCCAUUUUGCACUGCCAGGCUGCCAACCCUGCACCCAACCCCCACCACCAAAAUCAUGGCCAGAGCACACAUCUUCCCUCUGUAAUCCUUCCUCAUCGGUCUUCAUAGCCUUCUCCACUGAUCAAUGGACUGGCCUAUUCCCAUCAGAAUUUUUGAUUCCAAUGAAGGGCCUCAACCUGAAACUGUCCAGUGCUGCAUGAACCUUUGGGUUCCUCCACCAUUUACAUUCCAACAUCUGCUGGCACUUCAGUCCUUUAAGAAUUCCUUUGCUUAGACCUGCAAGUGACUCUUCCUUUUCCUGUCCUCAAAUGACAUUCAGUUACUUAAACAUUUUAAUAACCUUGACUGUUAUUAAUGGAAACAUUCCUUCCUCUUUUUACUUAAUCGCUAUAAUGAGUGCCAGGGCGUUGACUUUGUGUGAAAUUUGCAAGAAGAAAUGGAUCACGAAGGGAUUAAAUGCAACUGUUGUUUUGCCACGUUACCACCACACUAAUUAUCAGGUUCACUGGAACUAAUCCUGUGCCUCUAAGUAUUACUCAGACAAACAUCUGUUCAUUAAGGGGAGGAAGGAAUUCAACUGCCUAUGUCAGCAUUAUCAAAAUCCCGUGAACAGUACUGUUCACUGUCCUUUUAAUAACAAUAUAUACUGUGGAUUAUUUUGUUACAGACUAGUUUUGUGCAGUCAUAAAUUUAUGUAGAGAGGAGGAAGGAAGUCUUGAGCAUGGUAUUUUAGAACAUAGAACAUAGAAUACCUUCGGUCCACAAUGUUGUGCCAACCCUCAAACCCUGUUUUAAUGUAUAAAACCCUUACCCAUAGGUAUAGUAAACACUUUCACCUUUUAAAUUGUUCAGGCAUUCCCUAAUUGUCUUUAUAAAUGUGAUGAUAACAAUUAAUUAGAAUCAAAAUCUGGUUUAUUAUCACAUAUAUUGUGAAAUUUGUUUUUUUUUCCAGCAGCAAUACAGUGUAAUACAUAAAAAACUAAUAUAAACUAUAACAGGAAUAUAACAAAUAAAUAGUGCAAAACAAGAACAAGGUAGUGAGGUAGUAUUCAUGGGUUCAUGGACCAUUCCAAAACCAGAUGGUGGAAUGAAAUAAAUGUCAUCUAUUCUCUGGAGGCUUGGAUGCACCUAUUAAAUGUGCAGGAAGGCUCUAUUUCAAGACUAUUACUUGGUUCACUAACCCAAUGAUUCAUCACAGUGAAUUGAAAUGGCUUUUUCUUGCAAGGAGGGCCACAAAAUCAAAUAAACUUUAGUGAAGAAUGUGUUGUGUCUUGAAGCAGCCAUUUAUCGCCCAUCGUUAAUUGUCCUUGAGGAAGUAGAGAUGAGCAUUCCUCUUAAACUGCUACAGUCCAUUGGGUAGCAGAGCUGCGAGAGGGGAGCUCAGACUGAGCAAUUGCAAUGUGUUUCUUAAUCAGUCUGACUUGGGGUAGGUGGUGACAUUACUAAGUAGGUGCUGUUUUUGUUCCGUCUGUUUAGGGGGUGCUAUUAAAGAAGUACAUUAGAUUUUGUAGAUGGCCUAUACUGCAGCCAACAGUGCCAGGAAUAAAGGGAUUGAAUGUUAUGGUGUUUGAAUGUCAGUCAAGAAAAUUGUUGGUCCUGUAUGAUGUUGAGCCCACUGUGUUACUGAGGCUGUACACAUUAACCCACUAGAUUUCAAAACCAGAUAACUGCAUUUCACAAACCAAAUCUCUACAAAAUCUGGUGUUUUGUUUUGUAUUAGAUGAUGCUAUUGGUAGUGAUGAGAUAUUCUAUUAAACAAAAGACAGAGUACAAGUUAAUUUUAACAAUUCAAAAUUAAAUCCAUUUCAGUACUCCAAAGUUAAUAUAAUAAAGCCCGCAAAAAAAAAAUGUUUUGAACAUAUUCUCAGUCAAGGAGCAAGCUGUUAAAAAUGAAUAUCUCUGAAGAAAGAAAAUCAUUGAAGGAAUAGUCUGGUUUGGAUUCACACACUAAAUCCCGUGGUCAAGAUCUUGUUUGACACAAAUCCCUUUUCACUUAGUCAUUACUUUCUUUGCAGAAACAAGUAUAACCAUACGCUCUUCUACAUGGGAAUUUCGUCCAUAAUAAUGAAAUGCUUCAGGUGCUUCACAAGUGUCAAUCAAACCUCCCCCAUGAAUUAAAUCGUGUUACUCGCCUCAACUAAUUCGCGAUUGACAUUUACUGUUUAUUCCUAAUUGCUCCAGCUUGAGAAGCAGGUCAUUAGCUUUGGCAGGGAGGAGAUGGUAACAGAAUUCCUUCUCUGAAGGGUAAUGGGAAACCAUUUACUGAACAUUGUGUGGCUAAACACAGAUAUAAUACCAUAUUCAAUUUUCCUGGAUGACUCUCCCGUUGUAGACCAAACCAAAGGUGGUGAUGAAUCAGUGUGCAGGAGGGAGAACGAAAAUCUGGCUGAGUGGUGCCACAACAACAACCUCUCACUCAAUGUCAGCAAGACCAAGGAGAUGACUAUUGUCUUCAGGAGGAGAAAACCAGAGGAUCAUCAAACAGUCCUCAUCGGGGAUCAGAGGUGGAGAACGCCAGUGUUAUCAUUUUGGAGGACAUAUCUUGGGCCCAGUGUACACAUGCAAAUGCAAGUAAAGCACAGCAGCAUCUCUACUUCCUUAGAAGUUUGUGAAGCUUCAGCAGGAUUUCUAAAACUUUGACAAACUUCUAUCGAUGUGUGGUGGAGAGUAUACUGACUGGCUGCAUCACAGUCUGGUUUGGAAGCAGUCUGGUUUCUUGAGCAAGAAAACCCUACAAAAAGUCAUGGAUAUGGUCUAGUCCAUCACAAUUAAAGCCAUCCCCACCAUUGAGCACAUCCACAUGAAUCGUUGUCACAGGAAACCAGCUUACAUCAUCAGGAGCUGCCACCACAAAGUUCAUGCCUUCUUCUCACUCUGCCCUCAGCAAGAAGGUACAGGAGCCUCAAGACUCACACCACAGGUUCAAGGACAGUUGUUACCCCUCAACCAUCAGGCCCUUGAACUAAAGAGAUACCUUCUCUCAACUUUACUUGGCCCAUCAUUGAAAUGUUCUCACAACGUAUGGACUCACUUUCAAGGACUAGACAUUUCAUGUUCUUGAUAUUUAUUGCUUAUUUAUUUAUUAUUAUUUUUAUUGUAUUUGCAGUGUUUGUUUUCUUUUACACACUGGAUGCUGGAUGAAAGAUCUUUCAUUGAUUCGAUUAUGGUUAUUAUUCUAUUGCAGAUUUAUCAAGA